GAUGAACGCUGGCGGCAUGCCUAAUACAUGCAAGUCGAACGAGAGGAAGGAAAGCUUGCUUUUCUGAAUCUAGUGGCGAACGGGUGAGUAACACGUAGGUAACCUGCCCAUGUGCCCGGGAUAACUUCUGGAAACGGAUGCUAAAACCGGAUAGGUAGCGGACAAGCAUUUGACUGCUAUUAAAGUGGCUAAGGCCAUGAACAUGGAUGGACCUGCGGUGCAUUAGCUAGUUGGUGAGGUAACGGCCCACCAAGGCGACGAUGCAUAGCCGGCCUGAGAGGGCGGACGGCCACAUUGGGACUGAGACACGGCCCAAACUCCUACGGGAGGCAGCAGUAGGGAAUUUUCGUCAAUGGGGGGAACCCUGAACAAGCAAUGCCGCGUGAGUGAGGAAGGUCUACGGAUCGUAAAGCUCUGUUGUAAGAGAAAAACGACAUUCAUAGGGAAUGAUGAGUGAGUGAUGGUAUCUUACCAGAAAGUCACGGCUAACUACGUGCCAGCCGCCGCAGUAAGAC
rnacentral:rRNA from 1 species